AACAGUUUGUGGUCCAGAAUAUGUGUUUGGUUGGGGCAUUCCAGAACUAUUGGAAGCUGGGACACUGAGAUUCACUGGAUAUGUAGCAAAGCUAAAAGCAAGCUGUGGCAGAAUGCAAUUACAGCUGCUGCAUUUGUUAUCACUACUGCACUUAUUUGGAGAGAAAGAAACCAUAUUCGUUUUGAAGGAGCUGCUUUUGUGGAGGAAUUGACAUGUAGAGAAAUUGCUUUACUCCUACAUCUUAGAGGCAGAAAAUGCAAAAAUUGGCAGACUGGAUUGAGACAGCUAAACUGUUUUCCAUAGCUAUUGUACUUAGUCUUCAAAUGAUUGGUACUUGUGUAUAGAUAGUCAAGAAAGUAGAGGUUUUUUUACUGAAACAGUGUAGUAGUUAGUCCAUA
rnacentral:lncRNA from 1 species